rnacentral:rRNA from 1 species
UACGUAGGGUGCGAGCGUUGCCCGGAUUUAUUGGGCGUAAAGGGCGCGUAGGCGGCGCGGUAAGUCACCUGUGAAAUCUCCCGGCUUAACUGGGAGCCUGCAGGCGAAACUGCCGUGCUGGAGUAUGGGAGAGGUGCGUGGAAUUCCCGGUGUAGCGGUGAAAUUCGUAGACAUCGGGAGGAACACCAGUGGCGAAGGCGGCGACCUGGGCCAAUAUUGACGCUGAGGUGCGAAAGCGUGGGGAGCAAACAGG